rnacentral:rRNA from 1 species
UACGGAGGUGGCAAGCGUUGCUCGGAAUCACUGGGCGUAAAGGGCGCGUAGGCGGCCGCCUAAGUCAGACGUGAAAUCCCUCGGCUCAACCGGGGAACUGCGUCUGAUACUGGGUGGCUUGAAUCCGGGAGAGGGAUGUGGAAUUCCAGGUGUAGCGGUGAAAUGCGUAGAUAUCUGGAGGAACACCGGUGGCGAAGGCGGCAUCCUGGACCGGUAUUGACGCUGAGGCGCGAAAGCCAGGGGAGCAAACGGG